rnacentral:rRNA from 1 species
AACGAACGCUGGCGGCAUGCCUAACACAUGCAAGUCGAACGAGAUCUUCGGGUCUAGUGGCGCACGGGUGCGUAACGCGUGGGAAUCUGCCCUUUGGUUCGGAGUAACAGUUGGAAACGACUGCUAAUACCGGAUGAUGACGAAAGUCCAAAGAUUUAUCGCCAGAGGAUGAGCCCGCGUAGGAUUAGCUAGUUGGUGUGGUAAAGGCGCACCAAGGCGACGAUCCUUAGCUGGUCUGAGAGGAUGAUCAGCCACACUGGGGCUGAGACACGGCCCAGACUCCUACGGGAGGCAGCAGUGGGGAAUACUGGACAAUGGGCGAAAGCCUGAUCCAGCAAUGCCGCGUGAGUGAUGAAGGCCUUAGGGUUGUAAAGCUCUUUUACCCGGGAUGAUAAUGACAGUACCGGGAGAAUAAGCUCCGGCUAACUCCGUGCCAGCCGCCGCCGUAA